GUAUGAGGAAGCAAAGAGGAGGAGAAGCUGCGUAGUCAACGGGAGGAUUUCAGUGACAUGGUUGCCGAGAAUGAGAAGAAGAGGAAACGGAAAAUGCAGGAAAAGGAUGGAAAA